rnacentral:tRNA from 1 species
GCCAACGUGGCAGAGCGGUCAUGCAAACGCCUGCAGAGCGUUUUCAACCCGGUUCGACUCCGGGCGUUGGCU